rnacentral:lncRNA from 1 species
UUGUGAUGUAAUCGUAGAGAUAGAGAUGGCAUGAGGGAGGCCUGGAAAGUACCCCGGCAUCAUCCCGUUUAUUAGACCUUUUAGAGAAAGGCCUGCUUUUGCCAUUUCCCCCUUUCUUCUAGUUUACAAAAUCACAUUUUAUCAAAGAUGUGGGAGCCCUGCUCUAUUCUGACCUCCCUAGAUCUUCUGCAGUCUGGAGGAUCCUGGGGCAGGGGAGCCUGAUCUCUUCUUCUGGUGGAGUUCCAGACUUCAGGGACUUGAUUGCAUCUGGCCUCCUGCCUGAUUCAAAUCGAACCUAACCUGAUGUCUUUCAGGUGGGGGCACAUAUGUUAAUGCUUAUUUCCAUGGUUGACUUAAAUACCAUACUGCUUCAUUUUGGUUAGAAAAGCAUUUAUCUAAAUCAGCAUUUAGAAACAGGAAAGUCUGGGAAUAUUGGCAGAUAGAUGUUGGCAGACGGGUAGGUACAGCAGACCCUAACCUACUAAUGAGCCUUGGUCCCAAAUAUGUCUCCCUUCCUCCAUAUCCGUAAGUUCAUAUUGCUUGGGUAUUUGUUUUCCAUAACAGCAGCUUGACUGGAAAGGCAUAAACCUAAGCCUUUGAGUUACAUAGACUAAUUUGACAUCUGCAAGCAAAAAAUAAUACAGAAUUAAAUAUGUUCAGGUAUACACCAGAUGCAAAGGAAAGCAGGAGGGGCAUAUAUGAACGUAACUUGGGUCUGAAAAACACCAAAGCCACCUACACACUAACAUGAAAAUGAGAGUUAAAAAAUGUGAAAAUAUAGUGCAUCGAAGUGGCUCAUUGUGUAAAGCAUAGUGAAAUAUGACAGAGAAGAAUGAGAAAAUAAGAUGAGUACAGUUAGGAAGGUUCAAGGAUGUAUUAAUAUUUGAACUACAAAGAAUGUUUGCAGAUAAAAUGAUGCUUGUUGGGGUAAAAUUCUGACCCUAAGCAGGGAAGGUUAAAGACUUUACUUUCUUCCCUGGUAUUUAUUCCCUUUUAUGAUGGUUUCCUCUCUGUCUUGUUACUAUACACGACAUAGGCCAAUGUUAAAUGUAAAAUUUAACUGCAGAAACAGCAGCUAUGAAAGGAAAAGGGAUACACAGAAAUACAUUCUGAAAAUUUACUUUAAAUUUUUGAAAAAGAAACACAAAACAAAAUUUCAUCAAACCAAAUUUCCUAGAGAGAAGAGAGAGUUACGGUAAAGCCGUGUCUUGAAACUUCCCAAAUAAAUAAUUUAACAUGACAAAGAAGCCAAGAAUCCUGCAUUUCUCAAUUUGUUCAGUUUCUAUAUAUUAGCUGUAAAUUGUAAACAAUUUCUCAUAUUGAAUCUUUGUUAAAAGUUUCCUCAGUAAACCCCUACACAUAAACGGAGCCACAUCAUCAGAGGUAGCAGAAUUGUAUCGGAUGGGAUUUACACAAGAAAAGUCAAAAGCACUUGAAAAGCAAGUCUGUGGAAGAUUCUGGAAAAAUACAAAUGUGUUCUAUACUUAGCAAUGUACAGAAGGAAAAAUGGUGCUCAAAUGCUAAAGGAAGUAUGAUUUCUAGCAACAUCCUAACCUACUUUAUGCCAAAAUAUAAGACCAUACUAUUAUAAGCACUCUAGUCAGCAUCUCCACUUCAGCAUUUACUUGGACUUCUCAGGCUCAGGCAAAUGUGGGCAUGGCUGGCAAACUGGUGGAUUGGGUGUGAAAGCCUAUUAGGAAGGAGAACAGCCAUUACUCACUGCUGUUCACAUACCUCCAGGUAUGUCUGGGAGCUGGAGUAGACUCAUCUGGAUAUGUUUACAGAGGGCAGAAAACCCACGCUGAGGAGGAAGGAAGCAGCAGGGCUUAUCACUGAAAGUGACCAGGAAUCCUGGAAAGAAGCCUUGUGGUAAUGCUUAUCCAAACCCAUCCUCAUCCCAGCCCCUCGGUGCAAGCCUGGUCCUAAGGAGAGAAAGAACACCAAGGAAAAACAAGAAGAGUAACCUUGAAAAUAUGACACUAAGUGAAAGAAGCCAGACAGCCUUGGCCACAUUUCAUUCAUAUGAAAUGUCCAGAAUAAGUGAGUCCAUAGAGACAGAAGGCAGAGGAGUGGAUGCCAGGCUCUGAAGGUGGAAGGGAUGGGGAGGAGAUGCCAGUGGGUGUGAGUUUCCUUUUAAGGUGAAGAAAUAAUUCUGAAACUAGACAGUGGAAAUGGUUGGACAAAACUGAAAAUAUACUUAAUGUCACUGAAUCAUACAUUUAGUUAAUAGUUAAAAUAGAUUUAAUAAAGUGUUAAAUAGUUAAAGUGGCAAGUUGUAUGUUAUGUGUAUUGUACUACAAGAAAAGAGCUGUUUGUCUAUAUUCACACACUGGGGACCAAGUUACAUUGCCCUGGGAAGCCAAAGGGCAAGAGCAUACUUCUCCUUUGCUCUUCAUGGCUUUAUGGUCCUGAGGGGUCAGGGCAGCCACCAGCAAGGGCUGUCCUGUUGGAGCCACAGGAGAGCCUUGGCCAGGAUGCCGGCACAGGGAGAAACACAUUGUGCCUACUGGAAAGGCACAGGAUUGGCAGGGCAGGGCGUUGGGAACUGUGGACUCAUUUUCAGGUGCACACAAGACCCCACCCCAAUGGCUUCGAGAAAUGCUGGGGAAGACUUGGAAGCUGGACACUGAGCAGGCACAGAACAGCCAAGGAAAUUUCGGUUAAAAGUAAGACAGUGCUUCACAGUUUGAAGAUACCUUCAUUUAAUAUGAUGAAUUAGCUUUUCAAGACAACUGUAUGGAUAGAUGGUGUUAUUGCCAUGUUAUACAUAUAGAACUCAGUCUCAGAAAGGUUAAGUGACCUUCCCAAGUUUACACAGCCAGUGAAUACCCUGGGCACUUCCCAAAACCUCUUACAUGACAGGAUUAUUUGUAAUGAUGAGGCAACCAAUUUUCUCCUAAGGGUUUGACCACAGAAGACUGCUCACAUGCAGAAAGAUGCGCUCCGUGGCUGUGCUUGUGAGAAGAGGUGGCUCAGGUAUCUCAUUAUUGAGCCUAAAUUGAAGGGUCUGCUUGUUCGGCUCCUGGGAAAGUGUACAGUUGUACCUCAGUCCUACUGCAGGCAAAUCAUUUGUUUAAAGCCUGCUGAUGAGAAAUGUAAAUGUGUGUUUCAAAGAUAAAGAUGCUAAUUUGAGUAUGAGCCACGAGUUAUUAUAAGGAACAGAGAAACAUGGCUGUUAUUAUAAGCAACAGAGUGGUUGCAGGAAGGGAGGUGAGAGGUAUGAAUGGAAGGGAGGUGGAGAAGGGCCAUGGUACAUGUUAUUCAUACCACUAGUUUACCUUGAUGGUAAGAAAAUGCCUCCUCCAUGCUUAGACAUAGGGCGGCAGCAGCUCUGUGCUCAGGCUUGGUGCCAGUUUAAGGAAAGUAACUAGGCAUCAGUUUACCUUGUCCACAGAACUCUGUGACAUAUUGUCUCUAGAGUAUCUCCGGGGUGGCAUCUAAGAUUUCCCCAGCUGGAUUUGUCCCUAACUGGGGGAAGCAACUCCCAGAUCAGCCCCAGUUGUAAAGAAUCAAUGGGCCCAUGGAAAAACCUGUGUUCCCUGAUGUAGCCUUUGCCUCCCUAACUCUGUAUUUAUUGUGUGCUUUUGCUCCCCACUAAGAUCUCUAGAAGAAGAAAAAACAGGAAUCUUGAACAUCCCAAAAGGAGGAAUCUGAAUUAGUAAAUGGAACAUCCACACAUGCCCAUUAGGGAGAAAAAGAGAGUGAGAGAUGUUGUAAGUGAACUAAACCCUCAUACUCCAUAGCAGGAAAUGAACAGAUGAUAUAUCAAGUUAAUAAAAGACAGAGAUAAACUGGAAGUCUUUGGAAAUACGGAGAGUGGGGAGUCUCACUAUGUUGCCCAGCCUGGCCUUG